rnacentral:rRNA from 1 species
CAGUCGCCACGGUAAUACAGAGGGUGCAAGCGUUAAUCGGAAUUACUGGGCGUAAAGCGCGCGUAGGUGGUUUGUUAAGUUGGAUGUGAAAUCCCCGGGCUCAACCUGGGAACUGCAUCCAAAACUGGCAGGCUAGAGUAGGGCAGAGGGUGGUGGAAUUUCCUGUGUAGCGGUGAAAUGCGUAGAUAUAGGAAGGAACACCAGUGGCGAAGGCGACCACCUGGGCUCAUACUGACACUGAGGUGCGAAAGCGUGGGGAGCAAACAGGAUUAGAUACCCCGGUAGUCCCUGUCUCUUAUAC